UUGGCCUCCCAAAGUGCUGGGAUUACAGGCGUGAGCCACCGUGCCCGGUCUGGACUUACUUUAUUAUAUGUUAUAGACAUGUAAUUACAUAUUUUGUAUAGUUGACCACACAGAAACAGGCACUUAGGUCUCCGUCCCUCUAGCCAUUUCUCAACCGUCUCGACCGGCGAGUUUUCGUUGAGGCGAGGGAGCGCUCGCUCCCACAGGUUCGAGGGCUGGGCGGAGCCUUGGGAAACGGGCCCUGGUAAUCUCCGCUCAGUGAGUGGCGCUGCGAAGCUGCUUCUGCCCGGGAAGGAGGAGAGGGGCCUGGAACCGCCGAGGGAACCACCAGUUCCGACGCCCUGGGGUUGUGCCCUCAGUCUCUUGCCUCAGCACCUGGGUAGGUUUCCGCCUACAUGUAACCAGUGACUUCAAAUAUUCUGUUUUAUCUAAGAAGUACAACGAAGGUCAUGAGAAGCCUGAGUAGGCCUGAACUACAGCUGCCUGGGCACCAUAGUGAAGGUUAUAGGAUAAGCCCAUGCCCAGACAAACCUAGAUAACGGACAUCUGGGUUACUUGGCAACAGUCAUGUGCAAUCCUGUCUUUGUCCUGCCUCUGUAUUGCUGCUUUUCACACCACUGUAAGCUUGCUUCAAGCUAGCCCACCACCUUCUGUGAAGUAUGUAUAAAAGUCAGAUGCUGUCUUUGUUCCGGGCCCAGUCUUUUGGACGUUGAGUCAGCUGGGCCUGAGUGCACUCAAUAAAGAUUCUAGUUUCAACCUGA
rnacentral:lncRNA from 1 species